rnacentral:lncRNA from 1 species
AUCAUUCUACCCAUCAAAGUUAUAGAAACCUCUCCAAGCACUCACAUUAACUCCAGUGUCCCCCUUCUGGAGGUUCUUUAUGAUAGCCAUAACUAUUCUAAUCAGCUUCAAACAUCAAAGACAAGUAAUGAUCCUUAUCUCAAUUUAGAAACCAUUAUAGCAGAGACCUUCCUCCAUAAAGUUUAACAUAAAUGGCUCAAAUGAUUCAACCAAAUACAAAGGGAAAACCCCCCUCGUCUACCUAAAUGAUGAUGUACAUGUAUGAGAAGAAACAACCACCAAAUAAAAGCCUCCAUGGCCAUAUCUUUAAUGGGUUUAUUUCAUUUUCUCGUAACUGUAAGACACUACUUGUCAACUACCUUCAAAAAAUUACACUGAAAAGCCAAAGAGCAUGUCAUGAUGGCAGCAUAAACUUAUAACAACAACCAACAAGUAGAGCCAUUAGAGUUGAAUAUUAAAUAUUGGGAAGGAGUUCGUUUGUUUGAAUUACUUACUCUUGGAGAAGGAGGCAAAUGAUAAAGUGCGCACUGCCAGCUCCAUCUCCAAAUUUAGAUACAAAAAGGCUUACUUGUGUGCUGUGCUUCUAU